CGGCAUGCCUUACACAUGCAAGUCGAACGGCAGCACGGGGGCAACCCUGGUGGCGAGUGGCGAACGGGUGAGUAAUGCAUCGGAACGUGCCCAUCGAUGGGGGAUAACUGCGCGAAAGCGUUGCUAAUACCGCAUACGACCUACGGGUGAAAGCAGGGGACCGCAAGGCCUUGCGUCGAUGGAGCGGCCGAUGCCGGAUUAGCUAGUUGGUGAGGUAAAGGCUCACCAAGGCGACGAUCCCGUAGCUGGUCUGAGAGGACGACCAGCCACACUGGGACUGAGACACGGCCCAGACUCCUACGGGAGGCAGCAGUGGGGAAUCUUGGACAAUGGGCGAAAGCCUGAUCCAGCAAUGCCGCGUGUGGGAAGAAGGCCUUCGGGUUGUAAACCACUUUUGGCGGGAACGAUGAUGACGGUACCCGCAGAAUAAGCUCCGGCUAACUUCGUG
rnacentral:rRNA from 1 species